AUGCUCAUUGACAACAACCGAUUUUCAUCAGUUUCAGAAACAUACACAACAAUCAACACAUAUCUAGUAACAAUUUUAACAACCCAUGUCCCACAUACUAUUUAUCAUACACCCUAUUAUAGAGUCAGAACCCCACCCUUACCUUGGAUUGGAGAUCGCUCUAUAAUUCCGAUUGCAACCCGCUGCUGCCAUAGCUCCAAAUCUUUAUUCUUCUUCUUUUCUCCAUGUACUGCAUCCUUUUCUUUUCUCUUUCUCUAA